ncrna:unclassified sequences c4-2 RNA
UAUAGCCACUUAUGGUGUGGGUAGUGGAAACGCCCCAGCGCUUUCUUAUAAGAGCGUAGGACACCUUAGAGUGGCUUUUUU